rnacentral:piRNA from 1 species
UGCCAUAUGAAGGUGGGAAGACUAGGCAAA